UACGUAGGGCGCAAGCGUUGUCCGGAAUUAUUGGGCGUAAAGAGCUCGUAGGCGGUUUGUUGCGUCUGCUGUGAAAACCUAAGGCUCAACCUUGGGCUUGCAGUGGGUACGGGCAGACUAGAGUGCGGUAGGGGUGACUGGAAUUCCUGGUGUAGCGGUGGAAUGCGCAGAUAUCAGGAGGAACACCGAUGGCGAAGGCAGGUCACUGGGCCGCAACUGACGCUGGAGGAAGCGAAAGCAUGGGGAGCGAACAGG
rnacentral:rRNA from 1 species